rnacentral:rRNA from 1 species
GAUGAACGCUGGCGGCGUGCCUAAUACAUGCAAGUAGAACGCUGAAGGAGGAGCUUGCUCUUCUGGAUGAGUUGCGAACGGGUGAGUAACGCGUAGGUAACCUGCCUGGUAGCGGGGGAUAACUAUUGGAAACGAUAGCUAAUACCGCAUGACAACAGUUAUUGCAUGAUAACUGUUUAAAAGGGGCAACUGCUCCACUACCAGAUGGACCUGCGUUGUAUUAGCUAGUUGGUGAGGUAACGGCUCACCAAGGCGACGAUACAUAGCCGACCUGAGAGGGUGAUCGGCCACACUGGGACUGAGAAACGGUCCAGAAUCCUACGGGAGGCAGCAGUAGGGAAUCUUCGGCAAUGGACGGAAGUCUGACCGAGGAACGCCGCGUGAGUGAAGAAGGUUUUCGGAUCGUAAAGCUCUGUUGUAAGAGAAGAACGAGUGUGAGAGUGGAAAGUUCACGCUGUGACGGUAUCUAACCAGAAAGGGACGGCUAACUACGUG